rnacentral:lncRNA from 1 species
CUUGCUUUAUAUCUAGUAUGCUAUUUCUUGUUUUCAUUAGAGGUUAUAAGUGAGUUACUUCACUUGUUAUUGUUCAUUUUAGAUAAUUUUGAAUGCUUUUGGAAUAUGCUAAAUUGUUAUUGAAGUGUCCAGUUUUGGGGGAAGAUGCAUUAAAAAUCUCCUUUACAACUGUUUUUUUCAAUCCCAAGAUACUGUUGUUCUUUCUGCAAUAAGUCAAAGGUCAUAAGUAAGGUAGAUAACCCUUGCUGAAGAAUGUCAAGGAGGGUGAGUAGAUUAAUAAAAAACAUGAUGUAAAUAUAAAAAAGAAGAUGUGGUAUGAUUGCUUAUGAGACAACUUUCCACAAGAGAUCAAAAUGACACAGAAAUUAACAGCUAUAGGUCACUGUACGGCCUUCAAGGUUAUUAUUACAUUAUCAGCUGAAUUGGUUAGUAUACAGGGAUGAAAAAAUUGACAUAAACCAAGGGCAGUGUUAUCUUUCCUAAGAUUUCAAAGUUGUGGGAUUUUGCCUGAGUAUUAUCAUUGAAGAUAUGUUUUUGAACACUUAUUUGUUAUAUAUGUACAUUUUAGUACUCUAGUUCUAUAUUCAUUUUAGUAUUACAGACUUGUAUACUCUUAUUUCACCAGUAGAUUAUGUUUGAAUUUUAGGCGCUUUUUUUUUUUUAUAUAAGAAUGCACUUGGAUUUUUUUUUAAAUUAUUAUACAAAUGAAAAUGUAAAAGACCCUAGUGACUUUCAUUUACUGAAACAAAUCAGUCAUAUCAUUGAUAUUAAUGAUGAUCCAAAAGGCUUUAUCUAUCCGCUGUAUUAUAAAACAUCUACUUGAGGUAGAUCAUAAAGUUUAUAUGAUAGGUAUUUUUCAAUAUCACACUUUUAUUGUGUCUUAAUUUACUUAAAAUUGUUUUUUCAUUUUCAACAAGCAACUGUUGAGGUAUAAUUCAACAUGAUAUACUUUGUGUAUUUCUAUUGUUAUUGUCUCAUUUUGAAGGCCAUUUAGAAAGCCUUCAAAUCAAAUUAUAAUAAAAAUGUUAAGAAUUUUCAUAUUUCAAAAUUGUAUAAGAAUGACCGUCUUUUUAAAAAAAAGAUAAUUAUUGCAAUUGUAACUUUGUGACAUGGAUAUGUUUAUUGUUUGAAUCAGAACUGUCAAUGAAUAUUAUCAUGUCUUGUGUACAAUAUUAAAUUUUAGUUGGGGGCAAGUUUUAUUUCCCUUUAUUGGUUAGGUGUAGUAUUAUAUGUUGUAUACUGAAAAUUACUAAAGGGAACAUAAUGUCAUUUAUAAGGCAUAAUGGAAGCCUUUAAAUGGCAGUUUUACAUCCUGAAAUUAUGUUUAAAUCUAUUGACCUUUACUCUCUUCAAUUAACUCAAGUCCUUUGCACAUUUUGUUAUCAAAAUCAUAGAUCAUUUUAUUUGUUUACCCAUUUGUUAAGCUUUGCACGUUUUUAAGAGUCAUUGUGUAAUUUAUGUUCAUACAAGAUAUAUUUUUGUUGUACAAUGUGAUAUGUAUAGAUCAAAAUUUUGCUUUUAAUUUCACACAUGUUUUCAAAACUUGUUUGAAUUGUUUUACAUUGUCUUAUCGGGGCCUUUUAUAGCUGACUAUACGGUAUGGGUUUUGCUUAUUGUUGAAGGCCGUACGGUGACCUAUAGUUGUUUUAAAAUGUCUGUUUCAUUUUGGUCUUUUGUGGAUAGUUGUCUCAUUGGCAAUCAUACCACAUCUUCUUUUUUUUUUUAUAUAUUAGUCACUAUUUAAUGCAAAUAGCAUCCUUGUUUCAACCAAAAUCAUACUUGUGUUUACCUUAUUAAAUUCCAUGUGAUCAAUACUAUGAUAAACCUAUCAAAAGCUGUUUUGAAAAUUAUCUUGUUUACAUCAGAUACCUCAAUAUAUAGCAGCUGUUUGAUAGAAGUCUGCAAAAUCUUAGUUUAAUUGCUUGAAUUUUCUGUUUCUCCUAUAUAUGGAAGUCAGUACUUAUAAAAAGCUCUAAAAAAGCAUUCAAGGUGAAAUGAUUGUUCACAAAAAAAUAGUUAAACUUGUAAUGCCGUACCAAUUAAAUCUUCAUUUACAAAUAACUUUGAAAGGAUUAUAAAAAGCAACUCUAAAACUAAAUUAAUGAAAAUUAAAAAAAAAAAUAUAGUAGAAUUUACUGAUACUGUAAAAGACCUGAAACAUUUGCUUAUGUCAUAAAAAGGCCCCAUAUGUUGAACUUUCAUUACACAUGGUGGAAAGAAACUAUAUCAAAGAAUAUUUUAUUCAGAAUACUAUGUAAACAAGAAUAAGAAUUUUGAUAUUUUUUUAACAUUUUUUAUUUAAGUUUCCAUGAAAAUAUGUUGCAUAACAUUUGAAUAACCCAGACUAUUUUCUUCUUUUGUUUGUUUAUGACUGAGAGUCAAAUAAGUAGAAAUUCGGAUCCACUUAUUCAACAAAUUCACAUUUACCUCUUGAAUAAUGAAUAUCAAGGAAGAAUUUGGAAAUUUUCUUUAAUUUAAAAAUUGUUUAAUAGACAUUUUGAAGGUUUAUACAAUAAAUUUCUCUUAAAUGUUAACACAAUAUGUUGGUGAAAUAUUUAACCUAGACAUAAUUUCCAGUGCAUGGUAUUGGAAUUGUAAAUAUAGAGUAUUAUGAAGACAUUCACCAACAAAUUCAUAAUACAGUCCUUUGGACUUCAAAUUAUGAGUGAGCAGAGUUUACACACAAAUAAUCUACUUCAAAAUACUCUUCAUAACCAUAAUUAUUGUAAUAAGGAUGUGAACUGUUUCCAUGGCUUAAAUUAUAUAUACCAGUUAUUGUUGUCAUACUGUAGGUGCCAUUAUUGUUAAUGUUAACAGACUGACCAGUUGUUUUGUUAAUUAUGUGUUAACAGUCUGGUUGUGAGAGUUAACAUGAUAGAUUGUUGUGUAAUAAAUGCUUUAAAUGCAAA